AAGGUUGUCUCCGGAGGCACAAGCGUGGUAGUUCUGGUGGCUGUGUGGUUGUUGGCGCUGCUGUGAUUUCGUGUGUGACUCUCGGGUUCUGGUUGAGGCGAAUGGCCUAUGACAUGUCCUUUGUCUUUCCGCUGGUUGUUCUUCCUUGCCUUCCCGGUCCUCGCCGCUCUUGGUGAUAAUGUGCUUCGUCUGUUGUGGGUGUUUCCUCAUCCUCUCUGACUUCUCGGGUGUGCUCUGCGGUACUCCUCAAUCGAUGUUUCUCCGAGGAGGCAUUUUGGAGCUGACAACAGUCCUUGGUUGGUCA
rnacentral:lncRNA from 1 species